GCGGCCUGCAUAGACUGCCCUGCCACACACGGCCCCUCUUUCCCUCUCGUUUUCAAGGACGGUCAAACGCCGGUGAACUUCGCUGUGAUACGUGAUUUCCGGAUAAACGCAUCUUGGGGCUCGGCAGGCCUGCCCGCAGGCCUCCCGGACCUGCCUGGGAUCUCAGGGUGGCUCUCGGACAGGACACGCCGCGGUGGCAUUUCAGGAGAGGCAGGUGGUCACAACAUGAGCGGGGAAGAAGGGCCACGAGAGAAGACAGACGGGCAGGCCGACCCCCCACAGCUUGCGGAGGACUCAACACGGACCAGGUCCCAGCGGAUCCAGGGUCAGGCUGGUGACUCUUAACCUCCCGAUGUUGGUCCCACUCGGGGCCUCUCCCCCAUUCAUACUGUCACCCUGAGUUCUCGGUCACCAGUUCUGUGCUCCUCCUGGGCGCCUACAGUGCCCGCCGCCCCUCCGACUACAGCUUGCUCUGCGCCCACUCCGGCCACGCCGGCUGGUGCAUCACUUCCCGUGAGAACGCGCGCUGUCUGCGGAGUGAACCACGCUCCGGAAGUAACGAGUGCAGAUCAGGGCUGGGUCAGCGGUGGGUCCGGAGCUCGACCUGCCGGCCAGGGGUGGGCCCUGGGUGGCACGUUCUGCUCUCUCUGCCUGGAACCCCCUCCCGGCACCCCUGCCCAGAGGAUCAGCAGCGUCCUCCCAGGGGCUCCCCUCCUGCGGCCGGCCCCCAAAGACGUCCACGUCCUCACCCCGGAACCUGUGAACGUCACCUUGCCGACGUGAUGGGCUAAGGGUUGUCCAGGUGGGCGUCCCCACAGCGGGGAGAUGGACGGAAGACAACGAGAAGGUGCUGUGAUCGUGGAUUCCGGGCGCGGAGCCUGGGGCCUGUGCGUAUGAGACCAGGAGGGAGGCUAGAGCCAGGGAAGGUGGGCAGCCUCUGGGUGCCGGGAAAGGAAACACAGAUCCUGCCCCAGAGCCUCCAGAAGGAGCAGACCCUGCAGACCCCUUGACUUCAGCCCAGUGGGACUGAAUUCUGGCUGCUAGACCAGCAAGAAGCGAACGUGCCCUGCUUUAAACCAUCAAGUCAGGGGGCGCCUGGGUGGCUCAGUCG